GCGCUGCCUCGGGGCCGUGAGGCGGCGGCUUGCGGCACCCCGGCGUGAGGCGGCGGCGGCACCGGCACCUCCUCCUGCAGCUCGUCAUUCGAAGCUCUGCAGAAAGGAAGAGAAAGGCAGAACACAUUGUGUCUGGACCAGUGAAGGGUGAAGACAUGCAGCUACAUCUGAGAGUCGUGAGGUGCUGCCUAGUUCCACCAGGCAUCCAUGUGGAAAUAUUUUAAUCUAAAACCUCAUUAAAUAAAAGCAGCAAGUAAAGAACUUA